rnacentral:rRNA from 1 species
GAUGAACGCUGGCGGCGUGCCUAACACAUGCAAGUCGAGCGAUUCUCUUCGGAGAAGAGCGGCGGACGGGUGAGUAACGCGUGGGUAACCUGCCCUGUACACACGGAUAACAUACCGAAAGGUAUGCUAAUACGGGAUAAUAUGCAUUAGUCGCAUGGCUGAAGUAUCAAAGCUCCGGCGGUACAGGAUGGACCCGCGUCUGAUUAGCUAGUUGGUAAGGUAACGGCUUACCAAGGCGACGAUCAGUAGCCGACCUGAGAGGGUGAUCGGCCACAUUGGAACUGAGACACGGUCCAAACUCCUACGGGAGGCAGCAGUGGGGAAUAUUGCACAAUGGGCGAAAGCCUGAUGCAGCAACGCCGCGUGAGCGAUGAAGGCCUUCGGGUCGUAAGGCUCUGUCCUCAAGGAAGAUAAUGACGGUACUUGAGGAGGAAGCCCCGGCUAACUACGUGCCAGCCGCCGCGGUAA